CUGCUCCAUACAACAACAAAAUGACAUGCAUAUAAACAGAAUAUAUAAUCAAUCAAAGCAAAUGGUAUAAAAAAAAAUAACAUAACAAAAAAAAAACCUUAUAUGUGGGAAAGACAGUUAAACGUCCAUCGAAUCAAAUUUUAUAGACUCUGUUAUAAAGUAUCAAAAGUUCGCGUGUAGCACUGAAUGAAUAAAGGCAACAAUAGAAUACCGCUGUUCAAAAUUCAUAAAUCGAUAGAGAAAAAACAAAACCGGGGUACAAACUAAAACUGAGGGAAACGUAUCAAAUAUAAGAGAACUACGACACACAGAGACACAACAGCGAAAUGUAACAACCACAGAAACGAACUAUAAUGUAACAAUGGCCAUUUUCCUGACUUGGUACAGGGC
rnacentral:lncRNA from 1 species